UUAGGCCCAGUUUCCUUUCCCUCUCCUUGCCUUUAUUUAUUUACUUAUUAUUUAUUUAUUUAUUUAUAUUUUUAAAUUUACAUCCAAGGUAGUUAGCAUAUAGUGCAAUAAGGAUCUCAGGAGUAGGAUCCAGGGAUUCAUCCCCUACGUAGACUACCCAGUGCUCAUCCUAACCCCGCCUUGCCUUUAAGUUGGGGUGUUCUCGGGGCACCUGGGUGGCUCAGUCGGUUAGGCAUCCGACUUCAGCUCAGGUCAUGAUCUCACAGUGUGUGAGUUCGGCCCAAUUAUCGGGCUCUGUGCUGACAGCUCAGAGCCUGGAACCUGGUUCGGAUUCUGUGUGUGUGUGUGUGUGUGUGUGUGUGUCUGCCUCUCCCCUCCUCGUGCUCUCUCCGUCUCUGUCUCUCUCUCUCAAAGAUAAUAAACAUUUUUAAACAUUUCAAAAAAAAAUUAAAAUAAAGAUAUAAAAAAAAGAAAGAAAAUAAAUAAAUUGGGGUGUUCUUUCCCUUCCUCACCCCCAAGUGCCCUGUGUGGGUAGAACCCCUGCAGGAAACAGAUGGCGUGCCGUGGGCAGAUUGGGUCAUGUGAGGAGAGUGUGAAAAAGAGCGAUUUACAAAGGUGUGUGGGGCAGGUGUUGGGAAACCCUGAGGUGCAGUGCUAUACCCUGGGGCUAGCAACAGUGGGAGAAUUACCUGGCUCGGGCCUGAGGAAUAGAGAAGGGGGCAGGGACUGGAACCGGAUCAGUGUGGAGAAGCCUGCCUGACAGGAGCUGUGACCUUCAUGGGAGAAAAGCAAUCUGGCCUGUGAUCACCCCACGCGGAGGGAGCCAGAGGACUAAGUGCCCUGGAAGCUCUCUCUUUUCCACCCUCGGAUCUGAACCCCUUGGCUGAACCCAAUGCGGAGCCAGAAGGCAGGGAGUCUGAAGUGAUGCAGUCCUCGAGGAUCAGCGUGUGGGGGCGCAGAGCAAGAUGGAGAAUCUUGGGGAGUGGCGCUGGGGAGGCAGAGGAAGGCGCCCGCACCGUCAUGGCAGGACCGUGCCUUGUCCCCUAGCUUCACUGACCAUCUUCUCCGUGAUGAUGCCCAUGAAGCCAGUACAGACUGCGCUCUGAGCUCCAGGCCAGGGGAUCCAUAGCCUUCCAGAUAUACUCCCAGGAUCUCCCAGGAGCCCAGGAGCUGAAUAUCACUCGUGUGACCGCAGGAAAAUGACUGUGACCUUUCCAGCCUCUGAAUCCCACCCGGCCAUAGCUCUCCUCCCAGAUCCACUCACGAAGUUUCCAAGAGACACAGAUGCCCACAUAUUUCCCAGACAUAAAAAAAGCUGAAAGGAUUAAUCAUCAGCAGACCUGCACUACAAGAAAUGUUAAAGGAAGUCCUUCUGGCAGAAGAAAAAUGGUACCCAGUAGAAAUCUGGAUCUAUACAAAGGAACAAAUAACCCUGGAAAUGGUGGCACUGACCAGAAGACGAAGGAGGAACCCAAGAAGUGCUUGGCAAGUAACAAUGGCCUUUCACUAACCGCCCUUAUGGACUG